GUGUCAGGAAAAUACAGGCUGGAGGUGAAGCUGCAUGUGCUUCAGUGCAGCUCAGUGACAGCAUCAUGUGACCAGGUCCUGAUUUGUGCACCUACAACAUCCCAACACCUGCUGAUGUCCCCACUCUCAGUGUGAAAGUCCACACAGAGGUGGAGCCCACAGUUAUCAAAGGACACACCAUCAACCACAGAGAUCAUCCAGGAGCUCCCAGUGGACGACCUGAAGCCAGCCGUGGUCCAGAUCUAUGACGACUACCAACCAGGUCCAAGUCUGACUAAGCUUUACUCCAACAGCUCACUGACACACUUCAGAGGAUCCAUCAGACUGAACAGUUCAUACAAGCUGA